rnacentral:misc_RNA from 1 species
UCUCCGUUGGUGAACCAGCGGAGGGAUCAUUACAGAGUUGUAAAACUCCCAAACCCAUGUGAACAUACCUGUUGCCUCGGUGGCCUACCCGGUAGCUACCCUGUAGCUACCCUGUAGUCCGCCGACGGAACUUAAAACUCUUCGUCAUCAGUGGCCUCUCUGAGUAACUUAUACAAUAAGUCAAAACUUUCAACAACGGAUCUCUUGGUUCUG